rnacentral:rRNA from 1 species
GAUGAACGCUGGCGGCGUGCCUAAUACAUGCAAGUCGAGCGAACAGACGAGGAGCUUGCUCCUCUGAUGUUAGCGGCGGACGGGUGAGUAACACGUGGAUAACCUACCUAUAAGACUGGGAUAACUUCGGGAAACCGGAGCUACUACCGGAUAACAUGUUGAACCGCAUGGUUCAACAGUGAAAGACGGUCUUGCUGUCACUUAUAGAUGGAUCCGCGCCGCAUUAGCUAGUUGGUAAGGUAACGGCUUACCAAGGCAACGAUGCGUAGCCGACCUGAGAGGGUGAUCGGCCACACUGGAACUGAGACACGGUCCAGACUCCUACGGGAGGCAGCAGUAGGGAAUCUUCCGCAAUGGGCGAAAGCCUGACGGAGCAACGCCGCGUGAGUGAAGAAGGUCUUCGGAUCGUAAAACUCUGUUAUUAGGGAAGAACAAAUGUGUAAGUAACUAUGCACGUCUUGACGGUACCUAAUCAGAAAGCCACGGCUAACUACGUG